rnacentral:rRNA from 1 species
ACGAACGCUGGCGGCGUGCUUAACACAUGCAAGUCGAACGGAAAGGCCCUGCUUUUGUGGGGUGCUCGAGUGGCGAACGGGUGAGUAACACGUGAGUAACCUGCCCUUGACUUUGGGAUAACUUCAGGAAACUGGGGCUAAUACCGGAUAGGAGCUCCUGCUGCAUGGUGGGGGUUGGAAAGUUUCGGCGGUUGGGGAUGGACUCGCGGCUUAUCAGCUUGUUGGUGGGGUAGUGGCUUACCAAGGCUUUGACGGGUAGCCGGCCUGAGAGGGUGACCGGCCACAUUGGGACUGAGAUACGGCCCAGACUCCUACGGGAGGCAGUAGUGGGGAAUAUUGCACAAUGGGCGGAAGCCUGAUGCAGCAACGCCGCGUGCGGGAUGACGGCCUUCGGGUUGUAAACCGCUUUCGCCUGUGACGAAGCGUGAGUGACGGUAAUGGGUAAAGAAGCACCGGCUAACUACGUG